AUUCUAUCACUCGUUAACACAUAGAAUGAAUUUUAAAAAUUCUUAAUAAUUAAAUAGAGUAAUUAUCAGACACAUACUGGUUGUAAAACACUGAUAUGCUAUUCCAUUAUUUAUGCAACAGAUGUAUCUGUUAAGCCACCUGUCCUCUUUCACAGCAAGGUAGGUAAUCUGUUUUUUUAGGGUUACAGCUGCUUCAUUGUCAUUAACCAUUUUGCAUGAGAAGGAAGUGCAACAAAUUACAACAAAUUAUUUCUCCCACUUGCACUCAAAGGAUUCAUUAGCAGUGAAUAUUAAUUGCUUAGCUUACCCUGUUUGAUAAAAAUAACCCCCCUCGUUAAAUCUACAUUCGAUUUCAGUUCUUCAAAUUCAUGUUUUCUGUUCAAGAGAAAAUGCAAAACACACAUUACCAAGGAAAUUAAAUGUGAUUACACUUUUUAAAUUAACACAAACAGCCAAGCAGUGCAACAACUUAACAUAUGAGGUAUGCAAACACCCUCAAAAUGUUUGGCUAUUAUAGUGACAAAUUAUAAAACAACGCUUGAUGUACGCUACAUUGAAUGGACAUUGGUGUCAGAUUCAGCAACCCAACACUAAAAAGUGUUCAAAG